rnacentral:rRNA from 1 species
AAACUCGAUAAUCCACGUAUACCAAACCUUCUCUUGACAUCAGCAUGUGUACUGCCGUUGUAAGCACACCUCUAAAAGAAUAGUGUGCUACUAUGAUUACAUAACCAUAUACAUCAGGUCAAAGUGCAGCUAAUAAGAAGGUGACGAUGGGUUACAACCCUAAAAAAGACUAUCAACUAAGAAAUAAAAAAUCUUACGAAAGUGGACUUGGCCGUAAUCAAUUUUAAAUUAAAGAAAUGAAUAAUAUCUAAGACAUGUACACAUCGCCCGUCACUCUAUCCUAAAGGUUAGAUAAGUCGUAACAAAGUAGGUGUAAUGGAAAUUGUACCUGUCGAAGUAUAGCAUAUAAAAUGCUUUUUACUUACACUAAAAAUAAAGUUUAAACAACUUGCUUCGCCCACCCAUUACACCCCUCUAAAUAACAACUAAUUAAAACAAUUAUAUAAUUAAAAUAUAUAGUACAGAAAUGGAAAAAAUAAUAAAUAAAAGUAAAUUUUAACAAAUGUACCUUGUGCAUUAUGGUUUUACAAGAAAAUAAUUAAAAUACUAAUCCCGAAUUCUAAGUGAGAUGUUAAAUUGCUGUUAUGAACCCAUUAAUAACUGUAGAAAAAGUUUUAAAAGACAAUUUAACAGGGGCUACAUACCAUCCGCAUAAGAAUAUAGCUGGUUUUCAACAAACAUUAUACAUUAAAACAUAUAAUUAUAUUAUAUUGUAAUAUUAUUGAGGAUAAGCCCAAUAAUAGAUGCAAUAAAUAACCUAUUCUAUUUAAACUUAUAGGCCUUAAAUCAGCCAACUAAAAUACUUUACCGUAACUUACAAAGAUAGAAUACGUAGCACAUUUAUGCCAAAUAAAGUUGAAAUGAUGGAAAAACUCUCCACCCAUCUUUAUUAUGUAAAAAUAAGUAUUAUUAAUUUAUAAAAAAAUAACCUAGAAACAACAACAUAAAAAUAAUAAUAAUUAAUUAAGGAACUCGGCAAACUAUUAUUUCGACUGUUUAACAAAAACAUUGUCUCAUGAAUAAAAUAUUAGAUAAUACCU